UACAGAGGGGGCAAGCGUUGUUCGGAAUUACUGGGCGUAAAGGGCGCGUAGGCGGAUAUUUAAGUCAGGGGUGAAAGCCCGGGGCUCAACCUCGGAACUGCCUUUGAUACUGAAUGACUUCGAGUGCGGGAGAGGAAAGUGGAAUUCCUGGUGUAGCGGUGAAAUGCGUAGAUAUCAGGAGGAACACCGGUGGUGUAGACGGCUUUCUGGACCGUAACUGACGCUGAGACACGAAAGCGUGGGUAGCAAACAGG
rnacentral:rRNA from 1 species